AUGGGCUAUGCUACAAAGCUUCCUAGUCAGAAUGGGCUAUAGGCCAGAAUUUAUUCUAAUAUUAUUUAUAAUUAUCCAAAAUUUUAUCCAAAAAGAUCAUCCAAAAAAUUUUAUUUGGAUUUUUUGAACCUUUCUAUAUGCCCAAGAUUUUUUUUUUUUUUUUAUAGCAUAACUAACGUAGGAUUAAAUAUAUACAUGCAAACCUCCUCACAAAAAGCAA
rnacentral:lncRNA from 1 species